rnacentral:rRNA from 1 species
CCUACGGGUGGCUGCAGUGGGGAAUCUUGCGCAAUGGGCGAAAGCCUGACGCAGCGACGCCGCGUGAGUGAUGAAGGCCUUCGGGUUGUAAAGCUCUGUGGGGAGAGACGAAUAAGUGCAGUCUAAUACAUUGCAUGAUGACGGUAUCUCCUUAGCAAGCACCGGCUAACUCUGUGCCAGCAGCCGCGGUAAGACAGAGGGUGCAAACGUUGUUCGGAAUUACUGGGCGUAAAGCGAGUGUAGGCGGUCUGCUAAGUCAGGUGUGAAAGCCCCGG